UACGGAGGGGGUUAGCGUUGUUGGAAUACUGGGCGUAAAGCGCGCGUAGGCGGAUUAGUCAGUUAGAGGUGAAAUCCCAGGGCUCAACCCUGGAACUGCCUUUAAUACUGCUAGUCUUGAGUUCGAGAGAGGUGAGUGGAAUUCCGAGUGUAGAGGUGAAAUUCGUAGAUAUUCGGAGGAACACCAGUGGCGAAGGCGGCUCACUGGCUCGAUACUGACGCUGAGGUGCGAAAGUGUGGGGAGCAAACAGGAUUAGAUACCCGGUGUC
rnacentral:rRNA from 1 species